AGUGAACGCUGGCGGUAGGCCUAACACAUGCAAGUCGAACGGCAGCACAGUAAGAGCUUGCUCUUACGGGUGGCGAGUGGCGGACGGGUGAGGAAUACAUCGGAAUCUACUUUUUCGUGGGGGAUAACGUAGGGAAACUUACGCUAAUACCGCAUACGACCUACGGGUGAGAGCAGGGGAUCUUCGGACCUUGCGCGAUUGAAUGAGCCGAUGUCGGAUUAGCUAGUUGGCGGGGUAAAGGCCCACCAAGGCGACGAUCCGUAGCUGGUCUGAGAGGAUGAUCAGCCACACUGGAACUGAGACACGGUCCAGACCCCUACGGGAGGCAGCAGUGGGGAAUAUUGGACAAUGGGCGCAAGCCUGAUCCAGCCAUACCGCGUGGGUGAAGAAGGCCUUCGGGUUGUAAAGCCCUUUUGUUGGGAAAGAAAAGCAGCAGGUUAAUACCCCGCUGUUCUGACGGUACCCAAAGAAUAAGCACCGGCUAACUUCGUG
rnacentral:rRNA from 1 species